rnacentral:lncRNA from 1 species
UUUUUAAAUUUUAAUAACUUAAAAAAAAUUAUCCUGGAUUUCUACCAAACUUGGACAGAAGCUUGUUUAUGAUCAUAAGGUAGUACCCAAAAGUUAAUUUUGUAAAAAAUUAAUCCUUUUUUUCCGUAUUUUACUUAUAAAUGGACUUAGUUUUUCUGCCGGGAAACGUUACAAUCACCCUGUGGUUAAAGUUUUUAAAAUUUAAUAACUUUCUUAGACUAUCCUGGAUUUCUACCAAACCUGGACAGAAGCUUGUUUAUGAUCAAAAGUUAGUAUCCAGAAGGAAAUUUUGUUCUUGUUUUCCGUAUUUUACCUAUAAACAUGAUAAAGGGACUUAGUUUUUCUUCCAGUUAACAUUACAUGCAGUCUGCGUUGAAGUUUUUAAAACAUUUUUUAGAUUCAUAAACUAUCCUGGAUUUUUACCAAACUUGGACAGAAGCUUCUAACAAACAAAAGAUAGUAUAGAGAGGAAUAUUUUAAUUUUUUUCCCUCUUUUUUUUGAGCCUGCGAUUAACAGCAAAAGUAAGCGAGACUGGGUUCUGCAGAACCCUUACAAUUUUUUUUAUUUUACUUACCAGUUGUCAAGGUGUACACCAACAUUGCUUUUGUUUUGUUUUGUUUCACAUACUGUUGUUAAAGGUAUACACCUAGCUACUAAACUUUUACAUUGUUUUGUUUUAUAUACCUGUGCUACGGGUGUACACCUAAUUUAUAAAAUUAGUGCUUUUUUUGUUUUUUUGUAUACCAUGUAUACCAGAGUCUUGUGUAACAUAAAA